AGCGUACACGGUGGAUGCCCUGGCAGUCAGAGGCGAUGAAGGACGUGCUAAUCUGCGAAAAGCGCCGGUAAGGUGAUAUGAACCGUUAUAACCGGCGAUGUCCGAAUGGGGAAACCCGGUGCACUUCGGUGCAUCAUCGUUAGCUGAAUACAUAGGCUAACGAGGCGAACCGGGGGAACUGAAACAUCUAAGUACCCCGAGGAAAAGAAAUCAACCGAGAUUCCCCCAGUAGCGGCGAGCGAACGGGGAACAGCCCAGAGCCUGAAUCAGCUUGUGUGUCAGUGGAACGGUCUGGAAAGGCCGGCGAUACAGGGUGACAGCCCCGUACACGAAGGCACACAGGCUGUGAGCUCGAUGAGUAGGGCGGGACACGUGAUAUCCUGUCUGAAGAUGGGGGGACCAUCCUCCAAGGCUAAAUACUCCUGACUGACCGAUAGUGAACCAGUACCGUGAGGGAAAGGCGAAAAGAACCCCGGCGAGGGGAGUGAAACAGAACCUGAAACCGUGUACGUACAAGCAGUGGGAGCCUUCGUAAGAGGGUGACUGCGUACCUUUUGUAUAAUGGGUCAGCGACUUAUAUUCUGUAGCAAGGUUAACCGUAUAGGGGAGCCGAAGGGAAACCGAGUCUUAAUUGGGCGUUAAGUUGCAGGGUAUAGACCCGAAACCCGGUGAUCUAGCCAUGGGCAGGUUGAAGGUUGGGUAACACUAACUGGAGGACCGAACCGACUAAUGUUGAAAAAUUAGCGGAUGACCUGUGGCUGGGGGUGAAAGGCCAAUCAAACCGGGAGAUAGCUGGUUCUCCCCGAAAGCUAUUUAGGUAGCGCCUCGUGAAUUCAUCUCCGGGGGUAGAGCACUGUUUCGGCUAGGGGGCCAUCCCGGCUUACCAACCCGAUGCAAACUGCGAAUACCGGAGAAUGUUAUCACGGGAGACACACGGCGGGUGCUAACGUCCGUCGUGAAGAGGGAAACAACCCAGACCGCCAGCUAAGGUCCCAAAGUCAUGGUUAAGUGGGAAACGAUGUGGGAAGGCCCAGACAGCCAGGAUGUUGGCUUAGAAGCAGCCAUCAUUUAAAGAAAGCGUAAUAGCUCACUGGUCGAGUCGGCCUGCGCGGAAGAUGUAACGGGGCUAAACCAUGCACCGAAGCUGCGGCAGCGACACUAUGUGUUGUUGGGUAGGGGAGCGUUCUGUAAGCCUGUGAAGGUGUGCUGUGAGGCAUGCUGGAGGUAUCAGAAGUGCGAAUGCUGACAUAAGUAACGAUAAAGCGGGUGAAAAGCCCGCUCGCCGGAAGACCAAGGGUUCCUGUCCAACGUUAAUCGGGGCAGGGUGAGUCGACCCCUAAGGCGAGGCCGAAAGGCGUAGUCGAUGGGAAACAGGUUAAUAUUCCUGUACUUGGUGUUACUGCGAAGGGGGGACGGAGAAGGCUAUGUCGGCCGGGCGACGGUUGUCCCGGUUUAAGCGUGUAGGCUGACUUUCCAGGCAAAUCCGGAAAGUUAAGGCUGAGGCGUGAUGACGAGGCACCACGGUGCUGAAGUGACAAAUGCCCUGCUUCCAGGAAAAGCCUCUAAGCAUCAGGUAACAUCAAAUCGUACCCCAAACCGACACAGGUGGUCAGGUAGAGAAUACCAAGGCGCUUGAGAGAACUCGGGUGAAGGAACUAGGCAAAAUGGUGCCGUAACUUCGGGAGAAGGCACGCUGACAUGUAGGUGAAGCCCCUGCGGGUGGAGCUGAAGUCAGUCGAAGAUACCAGCUGGCUGCAACUGUUUAUUAAAAACACAGCACUGUGCAAACACGAAAGUGGACGUAUACGGUGUGACGCCUGCCCGGUGCCGGAAGGUUAAUUGAUGGGGUUAUCGCAAGAGAAGCUCCUGAUCGAAGCCCCGGUAAACGGCGGCCGUAACUAUAACGGUCCUAAGGUAGCGAAAUUCCUUGUCGGGUAAGUUCCGACCUGCACGAAUGGCGUAAUGAUGGCCAGGCUGUCUCCACCCGAGACUCAGUGAAAUUGAACUCGCUGUGAAGAUGCAGUGUACCCGCGGCAAGACGGAAAGACCCCGUGAACCUUUACUACAGCUUGACACUGAACAUUGAGCCUUGAUGUGUAGGAUAGGUGGGAGGCUUUGAAGCGUGGACGCCAGUCUGCGUGGAGCCAACCUUGAAAUACCACCCUUUAAUGUUUGAUGUUCUAACCUGGCGCCGUAAUCCGGCGUGGGGACAGUGUCUGGUGGGUAGUUUGACUGGGGCGGUCUCCUCCCAAAGUGUAACGGAGGAGCACGAAGGUCAGCUAAUCCUGGUCGGACAUCAGGAGGUUAGUGCAAUGGCAUAAGCUGGCUUGACUGCGAGAGUGACGGCUCGAGCAGGUGCGAAAGCAGGUCAUAGUGAUCCGGUGGUUCUGUAUGGAAGGGCCAUCGCUCAACGGAUAAAAGGUACUCCGGGGAUAACAGGCUGAUACCGCCCAAGAGUUCAUAUCGACGGCGGUGUUUGGCACCUCGAUGUCGGCUCAUCACAUCCUGGGGCUGAAGUAGGUCCCAAGGGUAUGGCUGUUCGCCAUUUAAAGUGGUACGCGAGCUGGGUUUAGAACGUCGUGAGACAGUUCGGUCCCUAUCUGCCGUGGGCGCUGGAGAAUUGAGGGGGGCUGCUCCCAGUACGAGAGGACCGGAGUGGACGCAUCACUGGUGUUCGGGUUGUCAUGCCAAUGGCACUGCCCGGUAGCUAAAUGCGGAAGAGAUAAGUGCUGAAAGCAUCUAAGCACGAAACUUGCCCCGAGAUGAGUUCUCCCUGACUCCUUGA
rnacentral:rRNA from 1 species